rnacentral:rRNA from 1 species
UACGUAGGGUGCAAGCGUUAUCCGGAAUUAUUGGGCGUAAAGAGCUCGUAGGCGGUUUGUCGCGUCUGCUGUGAAAACCCGAGGCUCAACCUCGGGCCUGCAGUGGGUACGGGCAGACUAGAGUGCGGUAGGGGAGACUGGAAUUCCUGGUGUAGCGGUGAAAUGCGCAGAUAUCAGGAGGAACACCGGUGGCGAAGGCGGGUCUCUGGGCCGAUACUGACGCUGAGGAGCGAAAGCGUGGGGAGCGAACAGG